rnacentral:lncRNA from 1 species
UGGUUAAAAAUAAAAAAGAAGAAGAAAAGAUGAACAGUAGAAAAUUUGCAAAACACAAAAAGAAAGGAGGAAGAAAACUUUUCGGCCAAAAAUUCUAUUCUGGCCAAAUUCCUCAAGUUAAUGCCCAUAUCCUCCAAAACACUCCCCUCAAUCCAUAAUCCCUAAAAUCUCUCCCCCAAACCGUCCACUACUUCCCUAUUACACCUCAAAUGCUC